rnacentral:lncRNA from 1 species
CCAGCCAGCUGCCAAGGAGCAGGUGUUUGCUGCACUGAAGCAAUUUGCAGCGGAGCAGCGCGUGGAUGACUUGGUGUGGGCUCUCACCCUGGUGCUGCCCCAUGAAGCCCGAGGGCCACUCCUGGACAACCUCAGGCAACACCCGCUCUCUGAUCUUUGAUUGUUUUGAUGAUGAUACUGAGUGUGUGCCAAGGACCUCAUCAACUAGAGGAACAUUCUCUGGAUGGAAUCUCCCAGUGCCGCUAUAACCCCAUUUUACAGAGGCAAACUGGGGCUCAGUGAGGUUCAGAAGCUGGCCCAAAGCUACACAGCAAAUCAGUGGCA